rnacentral:lncRNA from 1 species
UAAAGGUAUUGGGUUUAGUGUUGAUGAAGGGUUGUUUGGGGUGUUGGGGUUGGAUGUUGGGUUUAUGUGUCUUUUUAUGGGGUGUUUUGCAAUUUUUUUUAAACGGUAUAGAGUUUCUUUUGUAAGGGUUAUUGGUUUGUAUGCGAAUUUCAGUUUUAACCAUAUUAACUUUUAAUAUAGUAUAAUGUUAAACAAUAAUGGUAUAGUGCUUCAUCUAUUUGGGUUACUUCUAAAAUGUGUAUUUUGUUUAGGGUUAAUGUUGGGAGAGGGGGGUUUGGGUUUAGUUUUCCGUAAGGGUGGAGAUGUUGUAUGCAAAUUUCAUUUAUAACCAUAUUAACUUUAAUAUGGUUAUGUGUUGAAAAAUGGUAUAGUACGUCAUCUU